CACGUAGUUAGCCGUGGCUUCCUCCUCAGGUACCGUCAUUAUCGUCCCUGAAGACAGAGCUUUACAAUCCGAAGACCGUCAUCACUCACGCGGCGUUGCUGCAUCAGGGUUUCCCCCAUUGUGCAAUAUUCCCCACUGCUGCCUCCCGUAGGAGUCUGGGCCGUGUCUCAGUCCCAAUGUGGCCGAUCACCCUCUCAGGUCGGCUACGCAUCGUCGCCUUGGUGAGCCGUUACCUCACCAACUAGCUAAUGCGACGCGGGUCCAUCUCAUAGCGGAUUACUCCUUUAAUUGCUGUACCAUGCGGUACUACAAUCUUAUGCGGUAUUAAUCUUCCUUUCGAAAGGCUAUUCCCCUCUAUGAGGCAGGUUACCCACGUGUUACUCACCCGUCCGCCGCUAAUCCAUUCCCGAAGGAACUUCAUCGCUCGACUUGCAUGUGUUAAGCACGCCGCCAGCGUUCGUCCUGAGCCAGGAUCAAACUCU
rnacentral:rRNA from 1 species